UUAGACCGAUAGCGAACAAGUAGAGUGAUCGAAAGAUGAAAAGCACUUUGAAAAGAGGGUUAAAUAGCACGUGAAAUUGUUGAAAGGGAAGCGCUUGUGACCAGACGUGCGCCGGGGUGUUCAGCGGGCGUUCUCGCCCGUGCACUCGCCUCGGCGCAGGCCAGCGUCGGUUCGAGUGGGAGGAUAAAGGCGUCUGGAAUGUGGCUCCUUCGGGAGUGUUAUAGCCAGACGUGCCAUGCUCCCGCCCGGACCGAGGUACGCGUUCUGCAAGGACGCUGGCGUAAUGGUCUCCAGCGACCCGUCUUGAAACACGGACCAAG
rnacentral:rRNA from 1 species